rnacentral:piRNA from 1 species
GAGGUCUGCAAGGCAGGUGUCUUCCUCU